UCAAACUUGGUCAUUUAGAGGAAGUAAAAGUCGUAACAAGGUCUCCGUUGGUGAACCAGCGGAGGGAUCAUUACUGAGUUAUUAUACUCCAAAACCCAUGUGAACCUACCUAUUGUUGCCUCGGCGGGUCGCUGGGUAGUUACCCUGUACCUACCCUGUAGCCCGCCGAUGGACAUACCAAACUCUGUUAUUUAAUGGCAAUCUGAGCGUCUUAUUUAAUAAGUCAAAACUUUCAACAACGGAUCUCUUGGUUCUGGCAUCGAUGAAGAACGCAGC
rnacentral:misc_RNA from 1 species